rnacentral:lncRNA from 1 species
AGAUUAAGAGAAAGCAUAACUUGUUCUUGAAGGAUUAGAAAGAGUAAUUGCUACAAAUUUUGAAUAAUUCUAGAUCACUCUACAUUCUCGAUAUCAUAGAAUUUCAGUUCUAUUCACGCUUAUCAUCAAAAUUUGAAAUUCAACAAAGAAAAGAAUGAUUAAAGAAGAAUGCAUAUUUUGAGGGGGAGCUUUAGAUAUUCAAUCUAAAUGCAAAAGGCUACAUCCAUUUGAUGAAUAUCUUGAAUAUUUUAUGGAUUGAUUUUGAUGAACCUCCUUAUAUUGCGUGACUUGCUUUAGUUACAUAAUAAGUUUAUAUCCUAAGAUGAGUUCUAUAAAGGUUGUCUUAUCUCAAACCUUGAGUCUUAUGAAAAUAUGUUGAAACUUAUAGAAAAUAUAUUUUCGAGAUUGACAAUUUUAUUAAACAUUAUCUUCAAAUUCUAAACUCUUAAAUGGAACGAUCAAUUAAGAGGGAGAAAGAAAAUUUCAGAAGGAAAGAUCAUAUGGAACUUAAUCGCAUAAAUCCAUAACUAAAGGAGAGAGAAAGAAUACUAAAUGAAAAGUGAUCAUAAUAUUCUCCAAUAUGUAUCAUCUGAAAUUUAAUCUGAAAAUCUUUACGAUACACCUUGAGGCUUAUUAUUUGGUUAGUAUAUCUUAUGCAUCAAUCAUGAACCAAAUUGCAACUCAAAUAGUU